rnacentral:rRNA from 1 species
UAGGGCCAUAUCACGUUGAAACACCGCUUCUCGUACAAUCACCGAGGUUAAGCAGCGUCGAGCCUGGUCAGUACCUAGAUGGGUGACCGCUUGGGAAUAACAGCU